GACGAACCGUGCAAACGUUGUUCGGAAUCACUGGGCAUAAAGGGCGCGUAGGCGGCCCGACCAGUCUGCGGUGAAAGCCUCCCGCUUAACGGGAGAAGGGCCGUGGAUACUGUCGGGCUCGAGGGAGACAGGGGCAGGUGGAACUUCCGGUGGAGCGGUGAAAUGCGUUGAGAUCGGAAGGAACUCCGGUGGCGAAAGCGGCCUGCUGGAUCUCUACUGACGCUGAGGCGCGAAAGCCAGGGGAGCAAACGGGAUUAGAUACCCCGGUAGUCCUGGCCCUAAACGAUGGGUACUGAGUAGCGGACUGGACAUGGGUUCGCUGCUGGAGCAAAUGUGGUAAGUACCCCGCCUGGGGAGUAUGGUCGCAAGGCUGAA
rnacentral:rRNA from 1 species